GCAAACUUGGUCAUUUAGAGGAAGUAAAAGUCGUAACAAGGUUUCCGUAGGUGAACCUGCGGAAGGAUCAUUACCGAGAGUUGGGUUUCGACCCUCACCCUCAACCCUUUGUGUACCUGUUUGUUGCUUUGGCGGGCCGAUGGGGCUGCCCCUCUUUAGGGGGCGGGCCGUCCCGCCGUCGAUCCAUGCGGUCGGCGCGUGCCUGCCAGAGGUUUUUUCAAACUCUGUAUUGACGUCUGUCGUUCAAAAACGGCCCUUAUGGGGUCUUAUGGAUUUAAUUCAUGUCAAAACUUUCAACAACGGAUCUCUUGGUUCCGGCAUCGAUGAAGAACGCAGC
rnacentral:misc_RNA from 1 species